ACUCACUACCAUGAGAACUGUGCCAAGGGGAUGGUGCUAAACCGUCCAUGAAAAAUCCACCCCCACGAUCCCAUUACCUCCUCCCAGGAGCCACCUCCCACGUGGGGAUUAUGACUCAACGUGACAUCUGGGCGGGGACACAGAACCAAACCACAUCACAAGCACAUUGAUGUUGGGCUUGUUGGAUGAACAUACGUGGUCACAGCUGAGUCCGCUGUUUGUAUGAGGACUGAGAACCGUUUUCCUCUGCAGUAGCCUCCUCUGCUGACUAACGACAGGGGCAGCUCCAGUGGCUCCUGUGUGCUGAGUCCCUGGCAGGUUCGAGUUUGGGCCACUCUGUGCUCUCUAGAGAUAGAGCGUGUGUGUGGCAAGUGCCCACUCACACCCAGGACCUCCUUCACCGGCAGAUAAACACCAGGCUACUAUAAAUGUGACGGAAUUUUGAACACCAGGGAAAAAGAACCAGUUACCUGGGGGUUUCUCUUUUCCUCCAGCCACAUGGAGCCAUUCUUAUCCUGAAAUCUGAGAUCCCUUCAGAUACUCCCACAGUAAAAGGAGCCAUUGUACCAACAGCUAAGAUGACCAUCGCCCGGGUAUUUAACACUUCAAUUCUUAAUAAAAGUGGUCUUCCUGUAAAUCUGAAA